AUUGAACGCUGGCGGCAGGCCUAACACAUGCAAGUCGAAUGGUAACAGGAAACAGCUUGCUGUUUCGCUGACGAGUGGCGGACGGGUGAGUAAUGUCUGGGAAACUGCCUGAUGGAGGGGGAUAACUACUGGAAACGGUAGCUAAUACCGCAUAACGUCGCAAGACCAAAGAGGGGGACCUUCGGGCCUCUUGCCAUCAGAUGUGCCCAGAUGGGAUUAGCUAGUAGGUGGGGUAACGGCUCACCUAGGCGACGAUCCCUAGCUGGUCUGAGAGGAUGACCAGCCACACUGGAACUGAGACACGGUCCAGACUCCUACGGGAGGCAGCAGUGGGGAAUAUUGCACAAUGGGCGCAAGCCUGAUGCAGCCAUGCCGCGUGUAUGAAGAAGGCCUUCGGGUUGUAAAGUACUUUCAGCGGGGAGGAAGGGAGUAAAGUUAACACCUUUGCUCAUUGACGUUACCCGCAGAAGAAGCACCGGCUAACUCCGUG
rnacentral:rRNA from 1 species